UUUUUUUACUUUUCUUUCUAAAAACACCUGGGUAACACAACUGGGUAAUAGCUAGAUCUUGUACUGUUAGGGGGUACAGGAGGACUGGGUUGGGAACCGGUGUUCUAGCUGAUACCAUUAAACCUGCAGAACAAUGCAUUGGCCACUGGCCAUCUAUAAACAAGAACAUUGGUCACGUUGCCCCCUCUGUCAUUCCAACAUGUUUGUUUUGAAACUUAAUGUAGCAUGUAAAAACAUAAAGAUAUACAAAACUAAACAAACAAAAUAAAACACACCUAACACACCAAAAAUAUUGAUGGCCAAAACUGCUCCUAUAUUGGCUUGCAAUGACAACAAAAAAAAUGUGAUGGUAUGUUACAACAAAUCUUAUAUUAUAUAAGAUAUUGAUAUAUGAAGACAGUGUUUCUUUAGAUUACUACCAUUACACAAACAUUGAAAAUAGUUUAUAGUUUGUGUUCAUAUAUUUAUUUUUUUAUACAAGAUUUACCAAAUUACAUCACGCCCCAG